rnacentral:rRNA from 1 species
UGAGGAACAUGACCUUCGGCGGGGGGAUAGCCGGCCCCAACGGCCGGGUAAUACCGCGUACGACCACAUGGGGACAUCCCUGAGUGGUGAAAGCAGCAAUGCGCCGAUGGAGUGCCUCGCGGCCUAUCAGCUAGUUGGUGAGGUAACGGCUCACCAAGGCGACGACGGGUAGCUGGUCUGAGAGGAUGGCCAGCCACAUUGGGACUGAGACACGGCCCAGACCUNUACGGGA